rnacentral:rRNA from 1 species
GCAAUUACAAAGCGAAACUGCGAAUGGCUCAUUAUAUAAGUUAUCGUUUAUUUGAUAGUACCUUACUACAUGGAUAACCGUGGUAAUUCUAGAGCUAAUACAUGCUGAAAAUCCCGACUUCGGAAGGGAUGUAUUUAUUAGAUACAAAACCAAUGCCCUUCGGGGCUCUCUUGGUGAUUCAUGAUAACUUCUCGAAUCGCACGGCCCCGCGCCGGCGAUGGUUCAUUCAAAUUUCUUCCCUAUCAACUUUCGAUGCUACGGUAUUGUCCUAGCAUGGUUGCAACGGGUGACGGAGGGUUAGGGCUCGACCCCGGAGAAGGAGCCUGAGAAACGGCUACUACAUCCAAGGAAGGCAGCAGGCGCGCAAAUUACCCAAUCCCGAUACGGGGAGGUAGUGACGAUAAAUACCGAUACAGGGCUCUUUUGGGUCCUGUAAUUGGAAUGAGUACAAUUCAAAUCCCUUAACGAGGAACAAUUGGAGGGCAAGUCUGGUGCCAGCAGCCGCGGUAAUUCCAGCUCCAAUAGCGUAUAUUAAAGUUGUUGUGGUUAAAAAGCUCGUAGUAGAAGCUCGGGCUCCGGCCGACCGGUCCGCCUCACCGCGUGCACUGGUUCGGCCGGGCCUUCACCUUCUGCGGAACCGCAUCCCCUUCACUGGGGGUGUCGGGGAAACAGGACGUUUACUGUGAAAAAAUUAGAGUGCUCCAGGCAGGCCUAUGCUCGAAUAGAUUAGCAUGGAAUAAUGGAAUAGGACGUGUGGUCUUAUUUCGUUGGUUUCUAGGACCGCCGUAAUGAUUAAUAGGGACAGUCGGGGGCAUCAGUAUUCAAUCGUCAGAGGUGAAAUUCUUGGAUCGAUUGAAGACUAACUACUGCGAAAGCAUUUGCCAAGGAUGUUUUCAUUUAUCAGGAACGAAAGUUAGGGGAUCGAAGACGAUCAGAUACCGUCGUAGUCUUAACCAUAAACUAUGCCGACUAGGGAUCGGACGGUGUUAUUUCUUGACCCGUUCGGCACCUUACGAGAAAUCAAAGUGCUUGGGCUCCA